AUUGAACGCUGGCGGCAGGCCUAACACAUGCAAGUCGAGCGGAUGAGGAGAGCUUGCUCUCUGAUUCAGCGGCGGACGGGUGAGUAAUGCCUAGGAAUCUGCCUGGUAGUGGGGGACGACGUUUCGAAAGGAACGCUAAUACCGCAUACGUCCUACGGGAGAAAGCAGGGGACCUUCGGGCCUUGCGCUAUCAGAUGAGCCUAGGUCGGAUUAGCUAGUUGGUGGGGUAAAGGCUCACCAAGGCGACGAUCCGUAACUGGUCUGAGAGGAUGAUCAGUCACACUGGAACUGAGACACGGUCCAGACUCCUACGGGAGGCAGCAGUGGGGAAUAUUGGACAAUGGGCGAAAGCCUGAUCCAGCCAUGCCGCGUGUGUGAAGAAGGUCUUCGGAUUGUAAAGCACUUUAAGUUGGGAGGAAGGGCAGUAAGUUAAUACCUUGCUGUUUUGACGUUACCAGCAGAAUAAGCACCGGCUAACUUCGUGCCAGCCGCCGCAGUAAAAC
rnacentral:rRNA from 1 species